UGGAAAUCAGACAUAAGUAUUCCGAUACCAUCUUGUCCAACCUCAAAUCAUUUCGCUGAAAACAUCGUCCCUCCGAACACGCACAAACUCUGAUACUGCGAAUAAGAAAGUUGAAAAUGGUGAAGGGCGGCCGAAUGAACACGGCUGACGUGGCCGCGGAGAUCAAGUGCUUGCGACGAUUAAUCGGCAUGCGUUGUGCCAACGUCUACGAUCUCUCUCCCAAAACUUAUAUGUUUAAGUUUAUGAACAGUAGUGGCGUCACUGAAUCCGGAGGGAGCGAGAAGGUUUUGUUGUUAAUGAAAAGUGGUGUUAGAUUGCAUACCACUGCAUAUGUUCGUAUGACUCCAUCUGGGUUUACACUUAAAUUAAGAAAGCACAUAUGCACAAGAAGGCUAGAGGAUGUGCGGCAGCUGGGAUAUGAUCGGGUCAUCCUUUUUCAAUUUGGACUUGGUGCCAAUGCACACUAUGUUAUAUUGGAGCUGUGUGCCCAAGGAAACAUUCUCCUUACAGAUUCUGAGUUUAUGGUCAUGACUCUUCUUGGAUCACACAGAGAUGAUGAUAAAGGAGUUGCAAUCAUAUCACGCCAUUGGUAUCCAGUUGAAAUUUGUCGAGUUUUUGAGUGUACUACCACUACUAAGUUGCAAGCAGCCCUUACAUCUCCCAAGGAAUCUGAGAGCAAUGAAGCAGUCGAGGCCAGUUGAGGGUGGAAAUAAAGUGUCUGAUGCACCUAGAGAGAAGCAGGGUAACCGCAAAGGUGCGAAGUCAUCUGAGCCAAGCAAAAAUACUAAUGAUGGUGCUCGUGCCAAGCAAGCGACCUUGAAGACUGUUCUUGGAGAGGCACUGGGUUAUGGGCCUGCACUUUCUGAGCAUAUUAUUUUGGAUGCUGGUCUGAUUCCAAACACAAAAGUUACUAAGGAUAGCAAAUUUGACUUUGAUACAAUUCAGCGUUUAGCCCAAUCUGUUGCUAAGUUUGAGAAUUGGCUAGAAGAUGUUAUCUUAGGUGAUCAAGUUCCUGAAGGUUAUAUUUUAAUGCAGAAUAAAAUUUUUGGAAAGGACUGCCGCCCAUCUCAACCAGAUCGUGGUAGCCAGAUCUAUGAUGAAUUCUGCCCAAUUUUAUUGAACCAGUUCAAAUCAAGGGAGUUUGUAAAAUUUGAGACUUUUGAUGCUGCAUCGGAUGAGUUCUACAGUAAAAUUGAGGGUCAACGAUCAGAACAACAACAGAAGGCAAAAGAGGUCUCUGCCAUGCAGAAACUCAGUAAAAUAUGCAUGGAUCAGGAAAAUCGUGUGCAUACACUGAAGAAAGAGGAUGACCGCUGCAUUAAAAUGGCAGAAUUGAUAGAAUAUAACCUAGAAGAUGUUGAUGCUGCCAUAUUAGCUGUCCGUGUUGCUUUGGCAAAUGGUAUGAAUUGGGAGGAUCUUGCCCGAAUGGUGAAAGAAAAGAAAAAAUCUGGAAAUCCUGUAGCUGGCCUCAUUGACAAGCUUUAUCUUGAGAGAAAUUGCAUGACACUGCUGUUGAGUAACAACCUUGAUGAAAUGGAUGAUGAUGAAAAGACACUUCAUGUGGAUAAGGUAGAAGUUGAUUUGGCACUUUCAGCACACGCCAAUGCUCGGCAGUGGUAUGAACAGAAGAAAAGGCAGGAAAACAAGCGGGAAAAGACUAUUAUAGCUCAUGAAAAGCUUUUAAAGCUGCUGAAAAGAAGACUUGCAUCCAGCUUUCACAGGUAUAUCCAUGCAGAUCCACAUGGAGCUUCAAGUACUGUGAUCAAGAACCACAAGCCUGAACAUCCAGUACCCCCUCUUACUUUGAACCAAGCAGGAUGUUUCACUGUUUGUCACAGCCAGGUGUGGGAUUCAAAGAUUGUCACAAGUGCUUGGUGGGUUUAUCCUCACCAGGUCAGUAAAACUGCUCCUACUGGGGAAUAUCUUACAGUUGGGAGUUUCAUGAUCCAUGGGAAGAAGAACUUUCUUCCUCCACACCCUCUUAUGAUGGGCUUUGGCUUGUUAUUUUGCUUAGAUGAGAGAGCUCCUUGGGAUCACAUUUAUAUGAAAGGCGGGUGAGAGGUGAGGAGGAAGGGGCACAAGAUUUUGAGGAGAAUGAAUCUCUUAAAGGAAAUUCUGAUUCUGAGUCAGAGAAGGAAGAAACAGAUGAAAAACGUACUGCAGAGUCAAAAAGCAUAACGGAUCCACCAACACAUCAACCAAUAUUAGAAGGCUUUUCUGAAAUUAGUUCUGCUCAUAAUGAAUUGACCACCUCCAAUGUUGGAUCCAUCAAUUUGCCUGAAGUUCCUCUUGAAGAGAGGAAUAUGUUGAAUGGAAAUGAUAGUGAGCAUAUAGAUGAUAUUUCUGGAAGACAUGUUUCUUCUGUCAAUCCACAACUUGAGGAUCUCAUUGAUUGGGCUCUUGAACUUGGAUCUAAUACUGCAUCUGGUAAGAAGUAUGCUCUUGAAACUUCUCAAGUUGAUUUGGAAGAUCACAAUCAUGAAUACAGAAAGGCUAAAGUCAGAGAGAAACCUUAUAUCUCAAAAGCUGAAAGAAGAAAGCUGAAGAAAGGCCAGAAAACCAGUACUUCAGAUGCAGGUGGUGAUCAUGGAAAAGAAGAAAUGGGGUCUCUAAUUGAAAGGGGGUUCUCUAUAUCUUUAACUCAAGUUUUGUGUUCCAUUUUCAUUUGGAUUGCUGAUUGAUAGCUUUUUGGUUUAUUGUUUGGGGCUCUCGGUGUCCAUGUGGGAUUAACACCCAUAGAUGCUAAAUUCUGGGAGUAAUGUCUCAAAUUUUUUUAUUUAUUUUUUGUGUGUGUGCAGAUUUCGCUUUGGAUGCUAGCUUUUACUCUUCUUUAAAUCUAGGCGUGUUCUGGGCGUGUUCCAGGUUAGUUGCCUACUUGAAACCUAGUUCAAAAAAGCUGUCUGUAUUAAGAAUUCAUUUCCUGAAUAAGGCUGAGGAUGGACUGUUUGCCUGUGGGCUUUUGUUUGGGCCAAUAUUUGCUUGCGUUUGUGAUUUGGACCGAUGCCAUUGGGCUGGCUUCUUUAAGCUUAGUAGAAAUUUUAUUUCUGUAGUGGGUGGGACUUCCACUUUUGUUAAAGUUGGGUGACAGUCUCUUGAUAGGGUGGGUGUCUUUGGGCAUGCAGAGUGCAUGUAGCCUAUUACGUGUUUACCCCUCUUCAAUUUAAUGCACUUUGUCAGGGACUUAGGCCUGUUUGGUUAUUGUUUUCGAGAAUUGUGUUUUGUUUUUUAGAACAAAAAACACCAAAAACUCAUUUGGAACUUUAAUCACUUAUUGUUUUUAUUAGUCUGUGUGUUUCCAAAAUGUUUCUUUUUAGAGAACAAAAAAAACAAGUUUCCUUUGUUUUUUCCACUGUUUAGAGAACAAAAGGAGCAUCCCUAUUCUCCAUGUUUCCAAUCCUUUGUUCUCACAUUCCCUAUUGUCACCUGUGAAAUAAUCCUCCUCUGCCUCAUCUUCUUUUGUUCCAGAACUUCCAUCUACAUCAGAGAGUAUCUUGUUUCCAUUAGUCCCCUCAUCUUCCUCGCAUCUAUCAGUCGCAAAAUCCGAUUUGCUUCUAUUGGAAUUAUUGACUUCGUCAAUGCCAUCAUCAAUCCCAAUUUCUAUUAUCAAAUUCCUUUUCUGGGUAUAAUCCAAAACUCCCUAAGAGGGUUUGAUCAGAAGAUAAAGAUAGUAGAAUUUGCUGUUUAACUUAACAUCACAAUAGAAACACCUCAAAUUUACUUCCCCAUUUUCCAGAAUCUUCUCAUCAUCACCCUGAAUCAUACCAAUCUGCUUCACCCAUGGAAUGAAAGCGAUCUUCAAUAAUUCACAAUAAUCAAGUUGUGAUGAGGAUGAGCAAUCCUCACACAUAUCCUGUAAUUCAACCAAUUUUCGAUCAUUCGAAUAGCAUCCAAGUUUUGAAAUCUCCGCAAUGUGGGUUUCACACAGAAGAUAAGAGAAAAAAGAGUUGAGAAAAAGGAUCAGAAUCCAUUCAAGAACAUCAUAGAUGAGAAUAAGCGUGAUCUUGUUGGUGUUUGGUUCCAAACUUGUUUACUGCCAUUGAUGAUGAUGAUCUAUUCUUGAUAUUCAUAGAGAGAAAAGCAGAGACUAUUUAAAGAGAUUAUGAAAAGCAUGCAUUUUAGUUUUCUUAUUUGAGAAUUUUAGUUUGGUAUCAGUAUGUAUCUUAAGAUGCAUGUCUUAAAACGCUCCAAACUGAUGAGUGUUUAACUUUUUAUAAUCCUACGUCCCCAUCUCAUUGUCACUUUGCAUCUACUAAAGAGUUGGUUUUCUUAUUCUUACAUUUCUACAAAUGCAAUAGGAUGUUAUGAUCCGACCAACACCAGAAGCCUCAGUUCUUGGGCCUAGCCUCAUAAGUUUUUUUCUUAUUAUUUACAAUAUGCAAAUGUCCUAAUUUUAUGUGAAAGGGCUGCAGUACUUGGUUGGUUUCUAUUUGCUGUUAAAAAUGUGCAUCAAACUAAUCUUUUCUCAUUUUGGACAAGAAACUAUGCCUACUCUCUUUCUAUUGGCUUGAAAAAUGUCCAUCAGACUCACCUUUGACAGGAAACUAUACCAGGUUAGUUGGCUCCCUCCUUCAUCACACUAAAAAGAAAAGCUGAUGUGCUAGAGAUGCAAUUUGGACAAAGAUGCUUAUGUAUGUUAUGAUUCAACCUUCAUGUCAUGCUCCUAAUUUGUUCCAUUGUGCGUCUUAAUGUUGGUAGACAUUACAGCAAACUUUGGACUUGAGGAGACCCCUUCCCUUGCCUGAUGGUGUCAUUAUAAAUGGCCAGAACUAGUUCAUCCUUUAUUUAGUAUAUGAAGCAAGCCAGAACCUACAAGUGUGGAAUUUGAAAACAAGUGCAGCCAGACCCAACCAUUAGGGGUCCUAAGAUAUUCAGAUCACACAACAUCUGACUGGGCAGCCAAAUAUUGCGGAAUUCAAGGGCGAGGCGGUCAAUGCACCUUGUGAUGGAGUUGUGUGCUGUGGGAGUUCUUUGAUAAGAGUUAUCAUAUAUAAUGUAUUUGCUGUCAUUCAUUAAUAAGUUUUAUUUGAAAAAACUUGUUGAAUACUCAAAUUAAUAUUUGAAUCGAACUUGUUAAAUGCAUUUAAAAUUCAAAACCGACUCUUAUGGUUUUCGGAUAGCAAUCUAAAAUAAUGUUAAGUAUGACUAACAUGAUCAUCCAUCUAUAUUUUAGGAAAUUAGGCAAGAUUUUUGUGUAAUAAAUUUUAUUUUCAAGAGUAUGUUAAGUACUAAAAUUAAUAUUUAAAAUUCAAAUAUAAUACUUAAGGCUUUAUGGAUACCGUCAUUCAUCAAUAUUUGAGGACAAUAGAGAUUUCCACAUAAAUUAAUAUUUAAUUAAAAAUUAAAAUACUAUAAUCAUCAAUUUUAAAUAACUUAUCAACAAUGAUUCCAAAAAUAGGUAUAUAAAGAAAAAAAAAAUCCUCAAAAGGACAAAAAUGGGUUGGCCAAUGCAAAUUCGAGGUUCACUAGCCCAAUGAUCCAAUCCACAAUUUGUCAAAGGUCAAUUUAAUGUGUAGCCCAAAGUUUGAACCAAACUUGAUCAGGCUUCGAUUGACGGUUUAACCGGUGGACUGUCUACUUCAAUCCAAUUUUUAUUUUAAAACAUUGGAUUUUACCAUAUAAGUGUCCAUAAAUGGAUCAUCUCUAAUUUUAAGCAGGUACAAAUUUUCAAACCUAACUUAUGGAAUAUUCGAAGUUGACAUCGUGAGUGGAAUAAAAUUUAUUAAAAUCAAACUUAGGUUUUGAUAUUAAUUCAAAACAAAUGAUGGUAUCAGAAGGAAGGAUGGAAAGAGUAGGUAGACUACUAAAUAAAGGUUGUCAUCAUUUCACCUAUUAAAUGAAGAUUUUAAUGCAUCUUCUUAAUGGGCUCAACAAUAUUUACUUUUUUUUCUUGGAUGCUCCUAAUAUAUUCAUUUCUACAUAUAAUUGCAUUUAUUGUCUAAUUUAUAUGGAAUUAUCUAACAAUAUGAAAAUCUUCACAUAAUUAGUAUUUUUAUAAUCUUUAUACCGAUUAUAUUUUAAUAUAUAUUUUUAUUUAUUUACUAAUGAAAAUAUAAAUGGAAGAUAUUUUAGUUUUUUCAUUUGACAAUUAAAUUUUUAAUCAAAAUUUUUUAUUUACAAAUUGAGUAAUGUAAAAAAGAAAGCUUUAAACAAAGAAAUGAAAUAAAGCGAAAUAGAGAAAUGAAUUCAUAAUUUAUGAGGCAUUUAGAGUGAAAUUUAUCUAAUAACAAUAAAGACUUUCAAGUAAUAUAGUAUGAAAUUAUUAGCAACAUUUUAAAUAUAAAAAAAUUGAUAAAUGCUUUGUCAAGAUGGUCGAAACAAGAAAAAAUAUUUCUUUUUUUGGGCCAGCAAAUUGGUAUAAUUUAUUGAAACUUACAUAUUUGAAGUAUUAUUUUUGUAUUAUUUUCAUUCAAAUCUCAAUUUUAAGAAUAUUUAAAUAAUAAUCAGAUUUAAUAGUAAAGUUAAAUAAAAACUUAGAAUUGUACAUAAUAUAUUUGACAGAAAUAAUAUUAUUUUUUUUAAAGAAAAAGUUGUGAGCUUGUCUACGGAUUUUUUAAUAUAUUUGACAGAUUUAGGGUGUUAAUUAGGAGUAUUUUAAGAUGCAUUAUCAUUUCUUUUGUUUGAUCAGAUUAAGGUAGGUGGGUGGUUAUUCGGACAAAAAUACCCUUCAAUCCAAGAAAUUAUACCAAGCAACUCAACUAAUUUUCCUUCCUUUCUCUACAGUCUACUGCUUUGUCUCUGUCUUCCGGCGCCAACACAACUUCUCGCCUUCUCGAAAAUCAAGCUUUCAAACUCCUUUUCUUCACGGGUGAUAAGGCACACACUUCUCUUCUCUCACUCGCGCAUCAAGAAGGCCUUUUCUGAAGUAGUCCUCCAGGCGACAGAAUCCCUACAAAAGCCCUAUUUUCCUCUGCCACUCUCAAUCCUCGCAGCACCGGCUACAAGACUGUCUCAGAUAUGGAGGCCCAACAGGUUAUUCAAGUAAAAUCAAGAGAGGAGAUAAGAGAUGACAUUCACUUCGCUGCCCUUGAUACCGUUGUGAGUCUCAACUCCCUAUACGCUGCCUCCUCAUUUCUAGGACUCUCCCUCACCACCAUAGGACUACAUAGCAUUGAUGGUCGUCUUGGCUGCGAUCCCAAUAUCAGCACGAUCAGGACCUUGAUGUUGUUUGAGGUCAUUUCCUUUGCAUUUUUUCUCACAUCAUCAUUGGUGGCUCAUGGCUUGAAGAUAAUGAUCAAACUUGUUAAUGCUGCUGAAUCAAAUGAAGAGUUUAGAAGCCACUUCAAUAGAAAGUCUAUUCGAAAGGUGAUGCUUUGUGCCAUCUUUAGCUCAAUCUUGGGAUGUAUUUUUCUAAUUCUCUCAAUAGUGAACAUCCUUCAGAUUCGACUAGGAAUUUUGAGUUGUAGGAGUCCAUCCACAGUCCAAGGAGCGGUUGCUCUUGUUGUUAUUGUUUCAUGUGGUGUUGUUUUCCAUGUUGGUAUUACUGUCUUGGCGUUUUUAUAUGUAUGACUUUUGGUUUAUAUUCACCUACUGGUAUGUAUGAAACAUUAUUAAUGUGUUUAAUUAUAACAUGAGUAUUUGGUUUUGUUUGUAUUCA